GGGCUCGUCUCCAGGCUGGUUUCCAGUUUUCCCAGAACAAGGAAGACGUCUGCAUCUGGAGAUGAAACGACAUCUGUGAUCUGUCACGCUUGUUUCUGAACGCAGGAGAUCCGGUUCAUCCGCCGGCGGAGCCGAUCUUUUCUCCACCGAGCAGAACGGACAGUCCUGGAUAAAACCUGCAAGACUUCGCCCUCUGGACCCGCGGCACGACAAACACCAAAAACUGUCUUUUCCAAAAGCAGCUGGGAUGUUUCAGUCAGGAGCUCCAGAUGAAGGAGACCGAGUGACUGCAUGACCCGGGUCGGCCCGCUCGUCCCUCUGCAGAACUGGGCUGCCAGUUCUUUACUCGUAAACCUUUAAAGGGGACCUAUUAUGAAAAACAGAUUUUUUCUUGCUUUAACAUAUAUAAAGUGGUCUCCCCUCAGCCUGCCAACUCAGAGAAGGAGGAAAGAAACCAAAUUCUGCAGUGUCUGUACAGCCGCCCGGAUGAUCGUCCAGUGUGAUGUGGAUCUACGAGCCAAUAAGAUUCUGCGCAUUUUCGUUACGUAACCAAAAUGCAAACCACAACUAUAAAACCGUGUAACUGCAUGUGA